GUCUAUAUAGGGUAAAAAUGAAGCAUAAGAGAACACCAAGGCACUUUUUGUGUAAAUGCAGUUUUCUUUUUUCCAAAAAAGAAAAAUUACAGCAUGUUAAGAGCAUGAAAAUAUAACAUAUAUAACAAUUGUUAAAACUUUAUUUGCUUAACUAUAAUAAUAAAACCAGAAGAACAUCAAGAACAUUGCCUAAUGGAUGAGAAACAAGCAUGCACAAAUAUGCAUAGAUUCAAUUGAAAGGACUUGGAUUAAGGGAAGCAAAAGCAAAGAGCUCUUUAUCUUUCUCCAAUAUGGCAAUGUCUUCUUCUCCCAGGAGCAACCAUGCUUCUAUUCCUUUCUCCAUUCUUGCAUCCAUAAGCACUACUUUAUUCAAGAAUUGUGUUGUAGAAUCAUCUGAUAAACCAACACCAGACACCCACAUGGGCUUUCCCCAUCCAAAAUCAACAUCAUAUAGACCAAAGUUACACCAACUGCUAAUCGUUACAUAAUCCACUGCGCUGGAAAAUACUCUGCCGAUCUCUUUAACCCUGUCAUAAACAGUGAUAAUUCCUCCAUCACCUUGUACAUUCUUCGCAAAGUUACUGUCAAUUUUCCUAAUUGCUUCCCUCAUUUUGCACACUAGGCUACUUAGUUUGGCUUCCUCGGGUAAGGAUCGUACAUGUGCCAUCCAAACAAAGUUUCCCAUUGAAGUUUCUGGGAAUGGAGGCAAAGCUCUUCUCCUCAAAUUCACAGCAUGGGCGAAUAUAAUUGGCCCAUGAUAGAUGCUUGAUUUUGCCUGAAGCAUAGUCGUGAUGCGUUCGCUAAGAAAUGCAGGCACUACCUCAACACGAGUUGGAUUUUUCAUGCUUGAGCUUGUAGCUUGAGCCUUGAGACUGGCAAUAGCAGAUGCCUCGAAUACAAGCCUCUGGAUAGCAAGCUUACUGUCAUGUGAUUAGUGCAACCACUAUCAAUUAGCCACACAUCUUCAGCUUUAAUUGAAACAUCACAUUUUUUUAAUUUCUGUAGCAGCAAACGACUCUUCAUGAUUUUCUAAGUUUUCAGUAGCUUGUGCAAGCUAAGCUUGUGGAUGCAGGUUUUGAUUUGAUGUUCAUACCUUCUCAUUGUGACCAAAUUGUUUGCAGGUCUUACAUUGAGCUCCAGGCCUAUGCCAACAAUAAUUCUCACAGUGCAUACUUAUCUUGUGAAAAGUUUGUGCCUUUCCUUCUACCAUUCUUGUUGUUACUGUCCUUCUUAUCAACUUGCUGGUUCUUUGAUCCUCCUUCAUGUGAUCUUUAUUUUUGGGAUGCAACAAGUGCUUGCUCUCCAAUACUCUCUUCUUCUCUAAAUGCUCUUCUCUGCUCAACGACUUGUAAAGCAUUUGAAAGCCCAGUUAAAGAUAUUGGAGACAUGUCCCAGGAGUCUUCAAGAGAAGAAAGUUUCACUCCAUAUUUUUCAAGAAGAGUUAAUGUAACCUUCUCCACAAUCUUCUUCUCUUCCAACUCUUCUCCUAACAACCUGAUUUUAUUUACUACUUUCAUAGCCCUGUCAACAUAAUCCUUCACCUUUUCAGUGUUCUUCAUCCUCAAUAGCUCAAACUCUUUUAUCAAAUUAAACACUUGCAUCUGCCUU
rnacentral:misc_RNA from 1 species